AUUGUCCAAGUCUUCAAAAAACAUAAUUCAGAAAAAUGGGCAGCACUUAAUAGAGCUAAUCUCUUGUUCUGAUUCAGCCUUCAAGAUCAGCAGCCUGUAAAUAAGUUUAUAAAAAAAGGAGAGAGAGAGAGAGAAAGAAAAAGAAGGGGGGGGGGACUAAACGGAUUUAGUGCUGUUAAUCUUUCCAUAGUGGGGAUAUCUAGCUCUUUAGUCUCCACUCUUUGUUGACAGAAGUGGCUUCCAUUGUGCCAGCUCCCGAGCCUCAGAAGCCGGCUUCUUUUGAAGGGGUUGCUAUCGCCACUCUGCAUGUGUGCCACCCUCACCCUGCACUGGGAAGAUAGGCUGGCCACAGCAGUGGAGAGAAAGAUUGAAUUUCUGUGUCACUCCACAGCAUAUGCUGAAUUCAGUGCCUGCGAACAUGAGAAGAAAAGCAAGGUCCACAUCCAGCUAUAUAAUCUGUGCAUGUUUUAUCACUAGCAGAUCCUAGUAAUUUUGGUGAGCUAUCCUUCCAGGUAAGUGAUCCACAUUUUCAGGCUCUGCAUAGGAGCAUUUUCAGACCAAUGAUUUUGUACUUUGUAAAAUGCAUCUGACACACCUUUUCAUUAGCCUAUUGCUACUGAGCCUUCCUCGCAUUCAUUAGCGAUUAACUCAGACAGUAAUAAAGUAAGCAAAUAAACAAAAAAUCAUUUUAUGUGCCUUAAGGUUUUUUGAAACUGUCCCUAAUCGGUUUUUUUGUGCACUAAUUAUAAAGAUUAUCACCUUACCAGACUCAUGUAUUUCAUUCAGACAUCCGCACUGGAAAAAGACAUGCAGAUAUCACUGAAAAUCAGAAGAGAAAUAAUACUAUUAUGUUGUUUGUUCAGAAGUUGCAGUCUUUUUCUACAGCUGAUCCUAAGAACAUUAGUUCCAGGUAAAUGUAAGGAAUAUUUACAUCCAUGAAAGAAAAUUGCUUAGAAACAUGGUUGUGUGAAAAUCAGUAUAUGUUCAGAUAGUGAAGAUAACAUUCAGAAUUAGUAGAAGAUUGGAAAAUAGGUAAAUAGGUUUCUGAAGCUUAAGAUGGCAUACAAACAGAAGUUGACUUAUCAUCUUAACUAACUUACAGUGUGUGCUGUAUAGUGUAUGUUGUACAGUAUGUAUGUUGUACAGUGUGGUUCUGGGUUGUCUAGAAGUUCCUUGCAGCAGAAACCACGAAAUAUAAUAUUUGAACUACACAUGGAUGUAUAUCAGCUCCUAAACAAUUCAUCUUAACUAACAUACCACUUCCAAAAUUAUUUAUAGAAAAAAUAAAUAUAUAUAUAUUUUAAAUGGUGAAAAAGAAUCUGUCACUUCCAUCUUUGGAGGUGUGGAGAAAUAAACAUCUAAUACUAGUAACAAACUGCUGAUUACCUUUAGGGAAUUCUUGAGUUUUGCCCUCCAGGAUAGUCUUCAGUGUUAACAUAUAUGAUAUACCUACUACAACUUUAGACAAUCAAUUUAAAGAAGCCACUGAUUCUAACCAUCUGUUACACUGUGUCGUGUUCUCUUAAAAUGCCCUCCAAAACACUAUGAAUUUCAUGAAGCUGUGUGGCCUGAAAAAAUGUAAUUUUGAAACCUGUCCUAUAAUAACCAUGGCACAGUUCAAAGUGCUUUGUAUGCCUUUCUCGAUUUGACAUGCAAAUGUCAAAGUUUGUCACCAUUAUAUCUUUAUAUUCCCACUGAAAUUGCUGCUUGGAAGUGCUGAUUCAGUUUCUUUCCAGGUAAAAUAUAUCUUGCAAGUCAACCGGCUUUUAAUAUAUGCAAAAGUAAUAUAUAUACAUAUGUGUAAGUGUGUGAGUGUAUAUCAUGCAUGCUCUUACAAAAUAAAAUAUAUAUAUGAAGUGUAUAGAAGCUCUCAUGUUUUUCUGGGGCAGAGGGGGAUGUGGUCACUGAUUUUUAAAAGGAUUGACUAAUUUUUGUUGAAAGCCUAUGUCAGAUCUCAUUUCACCCAGGCCUUCCCCAUAAGUCGAGUAUAAUGAGGGCUUUUAGACUACUGAAUAUAAUAGAUGGGAGGAAGGAUCCUGAAACAGAUAAUUGGCCUAUACUAUGGUUUUGAGCCUUGUACUGACUUUUCAGUAAUUUUCCAGCUUUUUAAAAUAAAAAAGCUCCUUUUCCUUUAAUUCUUUCCUUUCUUUAAUGGGUGACUGGAUAAAUUCAGUGGUGGAUUUUUGUGACACUAAAGCAGCAGAUAAGUCUAUGAUGCACUCCAGCUAUGUGGUUUUAAAAUCCCUUACCAUAUGUUUUCUCACUGGAAUGCCUCGUCUUGCAAAAUUACAGGAACCGAAGCUUAAAAACACAAUUAGGUAGUUUUUAAAAUGAAGUAUUAAAGAAAUAUCGCACGUUUUCAGAUUUCCCUGCAAUAGUUUGUCUCCUUUCUGUUUUUUGUUUUGUUUUGUUCUAUUUUGUUUUGUCUUUUUUCUUUUGUGUUUUAUGCUUUAACUUGUUCAAG